GUAUCAUCCUCGUUUGGUAUUCUGUCCUAGAGGUUGUGAUUCAGAAACUGAAGAAAUUUUGUUGAUCUAGUGACGUGCAUGGAGGUGAUCAAGCUCGGCUUUCGAGUUGGAGACCAGCUGGGGCGAUGGGGUCACGCCGCUGGCCUGGGGCGAUAAAUUGCAGAUUUCGCACCAUUCAUCCGGUAAGCUUGCGGUCGACAGAGAGACACAGGAGGAGUUCGUCGGCUCUGUUGCGCGAGGAAAAGAAGGUGCCAACCAGGAACGUUGCUGUUCAUGUGAUGCAAAAGGAUGGGAGGUUGUUUCAAGAUCUAUGUCCCUCGCUGGCUGCGGCUGCUCGUCCUGGGCUCUGGUGGCGGCGAUGGUACGCCUAAGUUGCUACCAGGUUCGACCUAGAUCCGCACCUCUGUCAUGCUGCUGGUCAGCACUCCAGGGGCGUCUGCAAGGCCGGGUGAGGGGAGCUUCAGCCAGGGUGCGGCAAGGUCUGCCUCGUCCGCACCAGACUAAGGCAACUUGCAGGUAAAGAAGGAAGAAAGUCGAAGACUGAGAAAGAAGGGUCAGCCAGAUUGUUUACUUUUUCUUACUUUGCAUUUGUAUGUAUAUACACCGCCCUUCUGUUGCAAGGGAGGGAGUGCCGACAUGCGCGUGCCCGGCUCUGGCGGCGGCUCGCCGUCCAUGGCCUGUGUGUUAUAUUGGUUUUUUGAUUCUUGGGGAUUGGUGUUGGGUGGUAGUCAUAGAGAUAGAUGUGACAUUUUUUUUUUGUAAUGUAUGGUCCAGACUUACCUGGGGAAUUGUAAUAGGUAGCAUGGUCUUUGUUGACCAUCUGUUUUGGGUGUUUGGCUAGACAUUCUGGCCUCAGCUGGAUCGUGUACCUGGAUAUGUGAUUUGAGAUGUUGUGAUAUAUGCACUUGUAUUGUUGAA